UACGUAGGGGCCUAGCGUUGUCCGGAAUUAUUGGGCGUAAAGAGCUCGUAGGCGGUUCGGCAAGUCGGAUGUGAAAUCUCCACGCUUAACGUGAAGGGGCCAUUCGAAACUGCUGUGACUCGAGUCCGGUAGGGGGGUGUGGAAUUCCCGGUGUAGCGGUGAAAUGCGCAGAUAUCGGGAGGAACACCAGUAGCGAAGGCGGCACUCUGGGCCGGUACUGACGCUGAGGAGCGAAAGCGUGGGGAGCGAACAGG
rnacentral:rRNA from 1 species